GACGAACGCUGGCGGCGUGCUUAACACAUGCAAGUCGAACGGGAAGGCCCUGCUUUUGUGGGGUGCUCGAGUGGCGAACGGGUGAGUAACACGUGAGUAACCUGCCCUUGACUUUGGGAUAACUUCAGGAAACUGGGGCUAAUACCGGAUAGGAGCUCCUGCUGCAUGGUGGGGGUUGGAAAGUUUCGGCGGUUGGGGAUGGACUCGCGGCUUAUCAGCUUGUUGGUGGGGUAGUGGCUUACCAAGGCUUUGACGGGUAGCCGGCCUGAGAGGGUGACCGGCCACAUUGGGACUGAGAUACGGCCCAGACUCCUACGGGAGGCAGCAGUGGGGAAUAUUGCACAAUGGGCGGAAGCCUGAUGCAGCAACGCCGCGUGCGGGAUGACGGCCUUCGGGUUGUAAACCGCUUUCGCCUGUGACGAAGUGUGAGUGACGGUAAUGGGUAAAGAAGCACCGGCUAACUACGUG
rnacentral:rRNA from 1 species